CAAACGCUCACAACAAAUCCACCAACAGAAGAAAUGAGAGUGAGAGAAUCAGAGAGAGAGAUCCGAGCGUCUCAUCGCCAUCGCCCCAGUUGUCGGCCGACUUCGAGAGUGCAAUGCAACGGGGACAGAUGAGUCCGAUUCGAUUCUAUUGGGGCGAGACGGUAUGACUGACUUCGAGAAUGCAAUGCAAUGGGGACAACAGAUGAGUCUAAUUCGAUUCGAUAGGGGCGAGACGGUCGGUGAUGAUUUUUGGUCUGGACUGCCUAGGUAGGGUUGAAUCGUCGGCAGGGGAGACCGGAAGGCACGAAAAGCAGGUCUUCUCUAAAAACAUGGCGACGAAAUAUGCAAGCGCUGAUCCGGUGGGAAUUGAACAAUGAUCAUAUUUAAGCCGGACCUGACAAAUAUUUCGAUUCGAAUUUUGGUCUGCCUAGGUCCAAUCGUCGACAAGGAUUCUUGGCGGGGCCGUGUCUAAAAAAUGUCUUCUGGAAGUGGUUUCAUUGUCUUCUUUGGAAGAAUUGUCAGUUCUUCUGGAAGUGGUUCCAUUUUCUUCUGGAAGUUGUCUUCUGGUUCCAUUGGCUGCUCUUCUGCUAAUAUGGGAUUUGUGGCAGCAAUGACAACGUGGUUGUAUGUUGCUCAAGGACUCGGUGACUAUUGUGAUUGGAAGCUGCUCUUAAAGCAUCAAAGGAUUAAUGGUUCGUUGACAUAAUAUUCAUUUCCAACAAUCAGAGCCCUCUGCUUAUAGGGAACUAACACCUCAGAUCGGUUUUUCCUUCGAAUUAUGUUACUCUCACGGGCCAUAGCUGAACAAUUGAGGUUUUGGAUUCUACUUGAAAGUAGAUGAAGAUGGUGAUUGGGUGAUUCCACAAACUAAUCUUUAAAGUAAAUGAAGAAUCUAAACCGAAACUGCGUGUUUUGAAAUCCAUUGACAUAGGUUUGAUUUCUAAGAUCUUGAGGAGAUCAAUUACCAUGGUUAUGAAAGCUUGCAGGCAAGUUAUUUUUCUUCUUUCCAACUCCCUCUCUCACAGUGUCUAUUAUUCAAAUUAUUACCUGUUGUUGGCUUUUGGCCUUAGCUAUCAUGUUUUAGUACCUCUCUUUCCAACUAGCAUUUGUAUCCUUUUAGGGUGUGUUUGUUUGGGGAAUUCUCCCCCAAAUACACUAUUCAUCGCAUUUUUUUCCUUCAAAAACAUCAAAUCAAACACCUAUUUUUCAUUUUUUUUUUAUUAUACUAAAAAUCAAUUUUACAUUCAAAACAUCACAUCAACACCUAUUUAUAUUAUAUCAUACAACUAUUCAAAUUCAAAAUUUUUACUAUUUAAAUCCCAACUCAAAAUCUAAACCCCCAAACAAACACACCCUUAGUGUAUGUAGUGUUAACUUCAUGUUUUGUUUUUGUAUUCUUUCUCAAUGUUAAUGAAUGAAUAGAAUCCAAUGAAAAGAAUAUCUACAUUGCACAAAGGUAAUUUCCAUACUAAAGAGAGAUUCAAUUUGCAUAUGUAUUACUUUAGAAUUUUAACACAUUUUUUUUUUGGUCAAGUUUCUGCGCUUGAGAAGGUUGUGAUGCCACCACAUUCAUAAACUACAAUGACUCAUCAAGGAAAACUACGGCAACCCAAUGGACAAGUUUUUUUUUUCAAUCGAAAAUUAAUCAAUCAUGCAAAUCAAGUGCUACUCUCACUUGAAGAAGCAUGAGAAUGCAACAGAAGACCAGUCUUUCCUCGAGCCAAAGCAUGGAAAUCAAGUAAGAAGAUCUUUCGGUAAGAUGGAAAGCCUACAUAUUUGUAUGGGCAUGUACUUAUUAUCUAUUGUGGUAAGCAUACCUAAGUAUGUGUAUUUGUAGGACUAUGUGCUUAUUAUUUAUUGGGGCAGCUGUUCCAAGAGAGCUUGCAUAUAUUUUUUGACUGUGAUGUGCCCAAAUCUUGUUUAUUUGUUUUUAUUGUACAUCGAUUUUUUGUUGAGGACAAACGUAUUUGAAAGCUUGCAUUUA